rnacentral:lncRNA from 7 species
AGUGAGAGCAGACAGCACAGAGGUGGCACGGUGGUCCAUCCAUUCCCUGGCUCUGGUAUGGGGCAUUCAGCCUUUGGGUAGUCAUCAGCUUCUAUAGAGGGACUCUAUCUCAAUAACAGCCUGAGGAGGUCUGUAAGUACCAAUUUUGACAAGGGAACACGAUUACCUGAGGGCACUCAGGUUGUGUUUGAAGGAGGUGACUUUCCACAGCAGUGUUAUGACUGCCGCUUGGGAACAUGCAACUGCUCAGCCCCAAAGAGGUGCCCCAGUGCACACCACUUCUUCUUCCGUAGUUUCUUGAGCUACCUUGAAGGUUUUCUCAUAAAAACCCUCUGCAUGUUUAAAGCAAGAAGAUAACAGAGAAGCCCAGAAACUGUUUUUGCUCCGUUUAUGUGACAGAAUCUGUGCACCAGAACAGGGUGCUCAGGAAGGAGAUCUGAGUGCCACAGAAACGCAUUACACUUGCAGAUCUUAAAUAUAAAUCUAUUGUUGCUGUGCUCUGACACCUGUGGUUUCUGCUGGUCUUCACCUUGAUAUUUCCACUUCUCUUACUCACUUCUGUGCUUCCUCUUCCACCCCAGGAGACUGCCUGCAAGUUUUGCACUGAGUAACAGCUCCUUAUAAACUGAGAAAGCGUUGUCCUUUUCAGAGCUGAGAGUCACCUGUGCCUGAAACAAAGGUACAAUUUCCAGAGGCCGCCUGCGAUUUGACUGUUCAAUUAAACAAACAGAAAUGGAACGUCCCAGUCCUCUGAGGUGCUUAGGAGAAAUGCCUCUCUAAAUGCAGCAGCUUAGUGAAGUACAAAGGCAUGAAGUACAAGGUUAUGAUAUUUUCAUAAUCUGCAAAGCUGUCUGGUUUACAUGAUAACUCCAUCCAGAUGCCGGCCUACAAGGAGCAGAAGCAGUCACUAGGCAGAACAACCCCCUGGUCUUCUGGAUGCUAAAUUCCCCAGAUCCAUUUUGCAAGGAAGGAACAAAAUACCCCAAACAGUAGCGAUUCUGCAGGAAGUUCCACAUCUUAUCAAACGGCUCCCUUAGAGCUUCUGACACCCACCCAGCAGUGACAUCAGGCUUUGCUCGUGCCAAGUAUUCAUGGUGUGGGAAACGGGCAGUUUGGACUCCCUCAACGUUAUGAAAUUUUCCUGCAUUCUCAUGCAUGCACUCAGCAGGAUGCAGCUUGGGGUGAUUCUCUAUGAGGGGUCGUAAAUUUGCCAGUAGUCACGUGCUAGAGGCCAGCAGGAGCGCUGGGAUUUCUGCAGGAGUGGGAGAUUUCUGCAGUAGUCUGAAACUUGCUAUGCAGCUAUUUUUAAAUUGACCCCUUGUUUUCCCUUGCAGCCGAGUGCACAGCUCCCCUUCCUGUCUCCUUGCUGAGCUUAACAAUCUCUUCUCUGGCUCUGAGGCCGAAGGCUGCCUGCGCUGAUAGCCACAAAUGCUGCUCCAGAGGGAGAACUGCCAACAGCCCUCCACGCAGGCUUACAAAGCUGCUGCAUGGAUAAUGUAGCUUUCAUUAGGAUCAUCUCCUGUGGUUCCUCAGCUGAAUUUAGAGGACAGCAGGCUGAGCAAGGAAGGCGCACAACCGGAAGUUGUGCUGUAGGCCCAAUACCUUAUAUAUAGGCAUAAAGAUGUCUUCUCUAAU